CAAAUCAUUUUGACUGACUGUUUCACAGCACAUUCGUAUACUUUUACAGCAAAUCAUUUUGACUGACUGUUUCACAGCACAUUCGUAUACUUUUACAGCAAAUCAUUUUGACUGACUGUUUCACAGCACAUUCGUAUACUUUUACAGCAAAUCAUUUUGACUGACUGUUUCACAGCACAUUCGUAUACUUUUACAGCAAAUCAUUUUGGAUGGAACAUGUGAGAAAUCCUUUUGACCUUUGUUACAUUGACCCAUUUAAAAGAUCACUAUUAAGCAAACUUUGACUGAGAGUUUUUUAAUGAUGCAUGUGUUACGAAUCAGUGCAGCGAACGAGUGUACUUAGCGAUCCUUCACAGAGAGGAAAUGAUUAACCGUACAAUAAGGUAACUUGUGACAUUUUCCUGUAAUAAUUUUAGAUACAUGUAAGAUAUGGGAGGACAUUUUGUUUAGUCACGAUAAUAACUAUCAGGACUUGUACUAUAAUUUUCACAUCGUUUUUCAAGAUAGACUAGGAUAG
rnacentral:lncRNA from 1 species